rnacentral:tRNA from 1 species
GCCUCGAUGGCGAAAUUGGUUAGACGCAAGAGACUUAAAAUUUCUUGGGCAUUGUCCCAUGCAGGUUCGACUCCUGUUCGAGGUA